CAAGAACAAGACGAUUAGAUUACAAGUAAGUGAUAAUCAAUCAGGCCAUCACAUUCAUGCUGCCCCUGCAUCAACGCAAGCUGUGCGGCUUUGCUUGUUGGGGGUGGCAUUAACGUGACGGCGUCAGCUAAUCGCCAACAUCACAGUCAAGCAAGCCUCACAGUUAAGUAAACUCAACAACAAGUGAGAUGAAUAAUACUGUACUCCGGAGCCAACCAUUGACCCAUACGGAAAGAAGAUUGAAGGUUGAGCAACACCAUGUUUUUAACAAGCAGUCAUCCUCUCCCAGCACUCCAUAUUUACAGAUAAAGAAAGCACAAACUAACAAGAGCCAGACAUCACAAAACCUGACCAACAAGUGGCAGUUGCUUAUUACUCUAGCUAGGGUAAUUACCUAGAAACAUGAACCACAAAACUGAAGUCUAGUGUAGAGACAGUAGUAGCAGAGCAGGGCCAUAAUCAUAUACAGUAAUUAAUCUCUCUGUAGUGUGGUGGUAAUUUUUGGUGUCUGUCCUAGAUGAUGAAGAUGAUUUUAAGCNNNNN
rnacentral:lncRNA from 1 species